UGUAUUUCUAUUUUCAACCAUUGUGCAAAAAGUUUGCCGUAACUUGUGAUAUGUAUUGGGUGUUGAAACAUUCCUAGAACACAUAAGCAUAGAGACAACUUGAUCUGGAAGACCUUACAUAGUUUUCCUCAGUACUGAUGGUAUGAGGGGAAUAUAUUAGUCUGAUCGAACGACCAAUCCACAGAGAGAGCAUCCCGGAACCUGAG